rnacentral:tRNA from 1 species
UGGGCGCGUAGCUCAGGUGGUUAGAGCGCGGCCCUGAUAAGGCCGAGGUCCCUGGUUCGAGUCCAGGCGCGCCCACCC